CACGGUAAACGAUGGAUGCCCGCUGUAUGCGAUACAAUGUAUGCGGCCAAGCGAAAGCGUUAAGCAUCCCACCUGGGGAGUACGCCGGCAACGGUGAAACUCAAAGGAAUUGACGGGGGCCCGCACAAGCGGAGGAACAUGUGGUUUAAUUCGAUGAUACGCGAGGAACCUUACCCGGGCUUGAACUGCAGCGGAAGGCGGCAGAGAUGCCAACGCCCUUCGGGGCCGCUGUGGAGGUGCUGCAUGGUUGUCGUCAGCUCGUGCCGUGAGGUGUCGGCUUAAGUGCCAUAACGAGCGCAACCCCUCUCCGUAGUUGCCAUCGGGCGAUGCCGGGCACUCUGCGGACACUGCCACCGCAAGGUGCGAGGAAGGUGGGGAUGACGUCAAAUCAGCACGGCCCUUACGUCCGGGGCUACACACGUGUUACAAUGGGGGGCACAGCGAGCUGGGCGUACGCAAGUGCGUCCGAAUCAAGAAAUCCCCCCUCAGUUCGGACUGGGGUCUGCAACCCGACC
rnacentral:rRNA from 1 species